UGAAAAGAUUACUUAAUAAUACUAUUGCUCUGUAAGAUGAACAUCCACAAGAAGCUGUUAUUAAGUUUUCAAAAAUACCCAAAGGCUACAUCAUUACGGGGUAAUGGACUGCAAAAUCUUAUUUAAUUGCAAUGAACAUAUUUACUGGAGUUACA